GAGAGAGUGGCUGAGCGGUCAAAGGCGACAGACUGUAAAUCUGCUGGUAUUUACCUUCGCAGGUUCGAAUCCUGCCUCUCUCA
rnacentral:tRNA from 1 species